GAAUAUAAGACAGAGAAAGCCAUGGCUCCUCUCCUGUCUGAGAUCUCAUCCUCCUUUAGUUCCAUCAUUCCAUGCCUACCAAAGCCCAAGAAAACUCCCAGCUGAUGGGAAAUAAAACGACCCAAUCGUCUCCAAUCCCCAGUCUGCACCCGCUCCAGUGGCAUCUCAAGUAACUCCAACCCUUUUUGGUUAAAACCCAUCAAUAAUACCACAUCAAUUAGCUCCGAGACAAGUAGAAGAUGGCGUCCGGCAGCCGGCCGACGCAGUCAUCCGGCGCGAGCAACCUCCGGGGCGGCGGCAGUUCCCAUCCGUCGGAAUCGGUGAGCAAGGCGAUCGCCCAGUAUACCGUGGACGCCCGCCUCCACGCUGUCUUCGAGCAGUCCGGCGAGUCCGGCAAGUCCUUCAAUUACUCCCAGUCGGUGCGCACGGCGACGCCGUCGCAGUCGAUCCCGGAGCAGCAGAUCACGGCGUACCUCUCCAGGAUCCAGCGCGGUGGCCACAUCCAGCCAUUCGGUGCCACCGUCGCCGUCGACGAGCCCUCCUUCCGCCUUCUCGCCUUCUCCGAGAACGCCCCCGACCUCCUCGACCUCCCCCAGUCCGUCCCCUCCCUCGACCCCUUCUCCCCUCACCGCCGCCUCGCCCUCGGCUCCGACGUCCGCUCCCUCUUCACCCCGUCCUCCGCCGUCCUCCUCGACCGCGCCGCCUCCGCCCGCGAGAUCACCCUCCUCAACCCCCUCUGGAUCCACUCCCGCGCCUCUGGCAAGCCCUUCUACGCCAUCCUUCACAGAAUUGAUAUCGGAAUCGUCAUCGAUCUCGAGCCUGCGCGCACCGAGGACCCUGCCCUCUCCAUCGCCGGCGCCGUACAGUCCCAGAAGCUCGCCGUCCGGGCAAUUUCGAGCCUCCAGUCUCUCCCCGGCGGCGAUAUUAAGCUCCUCUGCGAUACCGUCGUCGACCACGUCCGCCAGCUCACCGGCUACGACCGCGUCAUGGUGUAUAAGUUCCACGAGGACGAGCACGGGGAGGUCGUCGCCGAGAGCCGCCGCGACGACCUCGAGCCCUACCUCGGCCUCCACUACCCGGCCACCGACAUCCCCCAGGCCUCCCGCUUCCUCUUCAAGCAGAACCGCGUCCGGAUGAUCGUCGACUGCAACUCCACCCCCGUCCAGGUGAUUCAAGACGAGAGCUUGAUGCAGCCGCUCUGCCUCGUCGGCUCCACCCUCCGGGCGCCGCACGGCUGCCAUGCUCAGUACAUGGCCAACAUGGGCUCCAUCGCCUCCCUUGCCUUGGCCGUUGUCAUCAACGGCAGCGGCGACGACGACGGCAUAAACCGCAACGCCAUGAAGCUCUGGGGCCUCGUCGUUUGCCACCACACCUCCCCUCGCUCCAUCCCCUUUCCGCUCCGCUAUGCCUGCGAGUUCCUCAUGCAGGCCUUCGGCCUUCAGCUGAACAUGGAGCUCCAAUUGGCAGCGCAAUUAUCCGAGAAGCACAUCCUCAGGACCCAGACCCUGCUCUGCGAUAUGCUCCUCCGCGAAUCGCCUGCCGGAAUCGUCACCCAGAGCCCCAGCAUAAUGGACUUGGUGAAGUGUGACGGAGCUGCCCUCUACUAUCAGGGGAAGUACUGGCCGGUCGGUGUCACUCCAACAGAGGCUCAGAUAAAGGAUAUAGUGGAAUGGCUCUCGGCUUGUCAUGGGGACUCGACGGGGCUGAGCACCGACAGUUUGGCGGAUGCUGGCUAUCCGGGCGCGGCAGCACUCGGGGAUGCUGUCUGUGGGAUGGCUGUUGCCUAUAUCACUCCAAGAGACUUCUUGUUUUGGUUCAGGUCGCACACAGCGAAGGAGGUCAAGUGGGGUGGUGCAAAGCAUCACCCGGAGGACAAGGAUGAUGGGCAGAGGAUGCACCCUCGGUCAUCGUUUAAGGCAUUCUUGGAAGUGGUUAAGAGCAGGAGCUUGCCGUGGGAGAAUGCAGAGAUGGACGCCAUACACUCAUUGCAGCUCAUUCUGAGGGAUUCUUUUCGGGAAGCAGCGGAGGGGACAAGCAAUUCGAAGGCGAUGAUCAAUGGUCAGUUUGGGGACCUGGAGUUGCAAGGGAUAGAUGAGCUCAGCUCGGUUGCGAGGGAGAUGGUAAGGUUGAUAGAAACAGCAACUGCUCCCAUUUUUGCAGUUGAUGCAGAUGGACGUAUCAAUGGCUGGAACACAAAGAUUGCUGAAUUGACAGGGCUCCCUGUGGAGGAAGCUAUGGGCAAAUCACUGGUUAAGGAUCUUGUCUUCAAGGAGUCGGCCGAUGUUGUCGCUAAGCUUCUCUUCCGAGCCUUGAGAGGUGAAGAAGAUAAGAAUGUGGAGCUAAAGCUGAAGACUUUUGCCUUGCAACAAUCGAAGAAUGCUAUUUAUGUCAUAGUAAAUGCUUGUUCUAGUAGAGAUUACACAAACAAUAUCGUAGGUGUCUGUUUUGUUGGCCAGGAUGUUACUGGACAGAAAGUGGUCAUGGAUAAAUUCAUUCAGAUACAAGGUGAUUAUAAGGCUAUCGUACAUAGUCCUAACCCUCUGAUUCCCCCCAUAUUUGCUUCGGAUGAGAACACGUGUUGCUCAGAGUGGAACACAGCAAUGGAAAAGAUUACUGGUUGGUCAAGAGGGGAAAUGAUUGGAAAGCUUCUGGUUGGAGAAGUUUUUGGCAGCUGCUGUCGACUCAAAGGUCCAGAUGCUCUUACAAAAUUCAUGAUUGUCCUUCACAAUGCCAUUGGAGGGCAGGAAACAGACAAAUUCCCGUUUGCAUUCUUUGACAAGGAUGGCAAAUUUGUGCAGGCACUUCUGACAGCAAAUACAAGAAGUAAUAUGGAUGGCCAGAUUAUCGGAGGCUUUUGCUUCUUGCAGAUUGCUAGCCCUGAACUGCAGCAAGCUCUUGAAAUCCAGAGGCAGCAGGAAAAGAAAUGCUAUGCAAGAAUGAAAGAGCUGGCUUAUAUAUACCAAGAGAUAAAAAAUCCACUUAGCGGUAUUCGGUUCACAAACUCACUGUUGGAGAUGACAGACUUAACUGAUGAUCAGAAGCAGUUCCUUGAAACUAGUGCUUCUUGUGAGAGACAGAUGAUGAAGAUCAUAAAGGACGUGAAUCUACAAAGCAUUGAGGAUGGCUCAUUGAUCCUCGACAAAGGUGAAUUUCUGCUUGGAAGCGUUAUAAAUGCUGUUGUUAGCCAAGUGAUGAUUUUGCUGAGAGAAAGAGGUUUACAAUUAAUUCGGGAUAUUCCUGAAGAAAUAAAAAUAAUUUCUGUAUAUGGAGACCAAGUUAGAAUUCAGCAAGUCUUGGCUGAUUUUUUGCUGAAUAUGGUGCGGCAUGCACCAUCUCCAGAUGGGUGGGUGGAGAUCCAAGUGAGGCCAAGUUUGAAGCAGAAUGCUGAUGGAACAGAAGUGGUGCUUUUCCAAUUUAGGAUUGUUUGCCCAGGUGAUGGCCUUCCAGCAGAACUUGUGCAAGAUAUGUUCCAUAACUCCAGCUGGGUGACCCAGGAAGGCCUUGGUCUGAGCAUAUGCAGGAAGAUCCUAAAACUGAUGAAGGGGGAAGUCCAGUAUAUCAGGGAGUCAGAGAGAUGUUACUUCCUCAUCUUCAUGGAGCUUCCCAGUUGUUAUAUUGGUGAAAGCAGGGGGAACUAAUCCAGUCAGAGACAUGGAAUUCUCACUGGACUGAUAUUAUGCUAAGCUGCAGCUCUAGUAAAUGGUGCUUGGUUCUCUGGAGCUAUACUAGAUGAGCUAGGCCCAAAAACUGAGAGACAUCUGAAUAACUGCUUGGAAACUCUCCAGUCACGUUGGGAACUCCAUUAGAUGACUGGGGCACUGUUAAGAUCUUGGAUUCAGGAGAUGCAAGGGUACUAUAUGCUGUUGCUCCUGCAAAAAGGCCCGGCGUGCAGGAAAUAUGUAAGAGAAGAAAUAUAAUGGUGUCUUCUGCUGCUUUUUUUGGCAAAUUAUGUUGCCUUCUGCGGGGAUUAUUCCGGCGACCAAGCAAGUGCGCUUCCAGAUAAUUCACAAAGGGAGAUGCCGGAAUGCAUGAUCCAGGGGACAGGAAUCUUAGGAUAGCUUGCCAGCAGCAGCAAAUAUUAUCUUGAGGACGCAGCACGUAGAAGCGGAACAAACCUGAUUCUGUUUCAGCAUAUGGAUAUCAUCUCCCCAACUACAGAUGGCAAACGUAUGGAUAACACUGAAGAGACGUCUGAAAGCAUAAAGAAUGUAAAUGGACAAGGAGUAUUCUUCUGGACCACCGACUACCCAAGUCCAAGAAGGCAAUGAACAGUUGAACACAAGGAUGAGAAAAUGAUGAAAAACAUCAACAAAAAUAAACAAAGGCAAAAAUAUUGAAUCUUUUUAGGUGAAUUGGAAACUCCUGAAUUGCACUUAGAGAUGGCUUUUGGAAAACCAUAACAUACAACUAUACGAGCCAUGCAGCCUUUCGAGUGGACUAGCAUGGAGAAGGCUUUGAUCGAAGUAUUCAAAUCACAGAAACCACAAAGCCAGAAGCCACGGAUAUGUGCCCAGAUUCGAGCAUGGACAAUAUCAAUUUGAAUAAAAAUUUCUAGAAUAAAAAGUAUUAAGAGUACCAAUUGAAAAUAAUUUUUCUUUGAAACCCAUUUGAAAAUAGAUUUUUUAAAAUUUACUCCACAUAAUUCAUUUUCUGCAUGGAGAUGUCUUGUCAAAGAAUUGAGAAAUUGGCAUCUUGAACCUGAAAUAUAAACUUGCCUGCAAAUUACCACCUCAGUAGGACCAAAACACACUCUGGGAGUCUAUAAAUGAUCGACCUCGCCUUCGCAUUGUGCAACACAAAAUCUUGCUCCUCACAGCACGACUUGAAGCUCAUGAGGAGAUGACUAGCCUUGCUGUCACAAUCCAACUGUCUUUUCAAAUACCUCGUGGCAGAUUCUACAGGAGUACAAGUCAAUAGUAGAAUAAUCACUUUCCAUUUUGUACUGUGCACAUAAUUGGGAUGCACUGUGUAGCACUUACAAGUUGAAUAAAGUAGAUAGCCUGUUGCCAUAGAGCUAAGAGAUAUAUCUAUGAUGUAACUGUUAUUGGUAAAGCUCACACUAAAUGAUUAAAUAGUAUAUAAUGUUUCAUUGAAGUAUAAACAUUAUGCUUUUCCUGCAAAACUUUGGCGUAAGUGAAUUGCCAGAGUGAAAUGCAGUCUUUGCAGGUUAUUUGCAAGAUUUUUAACUUUCAAGAUAUACAAAAUUCAGCAGGGGAUCAAAGUUUGCGUGUUGGUUUUCAAGCAUGUCGGCAAAAUGUUGUCAGGUGAUGCAAGAUCACACUGUGGAAUAGGAUUAACUUAUGUCAGUGUAAUGAUGGCUACUUAUAUCUGUAAACAAAUCUUCUACUCCAUCUAAAGAAUCGAAUCCGCCCUUGUGGUAAUGUUUCUUGUA